ACUUUGUUAGAUGUAUACCCUAGAAGCCAACUAGGUUGACACAUGUAUUCUUUUUAGGACAUAAAUUUGUAUUUGAUGUUAAAUAUUAUGAAUGAAUUUGGGUUAUUAUUUUUAUUCAUUUUGUGUAUGUGUCGAUGAAUUGUACAAGGAAUUAAUAAAAUGAUAACACGUAUUCUCAAGAAUUGAGAAUAUGAGAUAUGUGUCAUUGGUGGUUAAUUCCUAAAUGUUCCCUAUCGAUGGAUCAUCACGGGAACAAUAAUUGAUCUGGUGAGAUUGGUGUAGAAGUCACUUUCCAUUUUGGAUAGACGAAUCUCGAGUCAAUAGUGUGGGGACACUGGAGCGAUGUAGGUGGUUAUUAGAGAACAACGAUACCGAGCGUGACCAACGCGAGAAGUUACGUGGAUGUCUACUCACUUGUCAGUGAGUUACUCAAUGUUGCAAUAGUGUGACCGGUCUCUUGACCUACGGUGCCUCGGCUAUUGACAAUGAGGUUAUUGUAGUUUGACUGUACAUACACUUGGUCUGUAGCCAUUCGGGUCCUUACGGUGCAUGUUGACUGCAGUAGGUUCGUUGUAGAAAUAAGGUGUGCACCUAUAUAGAAUCUAUCUCCCUUGAUAGAUAGGGGUGUUAGUCCUAUGUGAUUUAUGAGAUCGAGAUUAGAAGACCUUGGCCGGGGCAAAGUUAAUAAUGAAAAAGGGUUUCCGAUAUUAGAAACUCGAGUUGAAUAAAUUUGAUAUAUGACAGACGAUAAGGUUUGACGAACUAUUUCAUGAUCUCCGUCUAGUCAGGACUUAUGAUAGAAGGAUUACAUCACACGGAAACUACGACAAGAAGUUUAGUAUUUCAUUCUACUAGAAUGCCACUAUAUGCUGCUAGGCAUCACUGGUGGAUUGGGAGACUCAUGAGAAUUAUCUGGAUAAUAGAUAAUUUUUAUUGGGCAGAGUUAGAAUUGUUCCAACCCACUGAAAAGAGUUUUAGUGAUAUUGUUGAUAGUGAUUAAAAUAUAUCUCACUACCAGAUAGAAUAGAACCUAUGGGGUCACACGCAUAAGAGGUAGCAACUAAUCAAAUAGCUGGAUCGUGAAUUGAAUCGCCGGAGGACCUAAUUGUCAAUAUGUUGAUAAUUGGGCUAAUCUAUAAUUAUUACAAAUUAGUGGUAU
rnacentral:lncRNA from 1 species